GUCGAACGCUUUUUGGUACUUCGGUGCGAGAGAGAGUGGCGGACGGGUGAGGAACACGUGGAUUAUCUCCCUUGAGGUGAGGAAUACCGACGAGAAAUCGUUGACAAUACCGCAUAGGUUCGGUGAGAGCCGAGCAAAGUCUUGUGAGAGCAAGAUGCCUUGAGAUGAGUCCGCGGCCGAUUAGCUAGCUGGUGGGGUAAUGGCCUACCAGGGCGACGAUCGGUAGCUGAUCUGAGAGGAUGAGCAGCCACACUGGGAUUGAGAACGGCCCAGACUCCUACGGGAGGCAGCAGUGAGGAAUUUUCGGCAAUGGGGGCAACCCUGACCGAGCAACGCCGCGUGCAGGACGAAGGUCUUCGGAUCGUAAACUGCUUUUAUCAGGGAAGAGAACGGACGGUACCUGAUGAAUCAGCCCCGGCUAACUACGUGCCAGCAGCCGCGGUAAUACGUAGGGGGCAAGCGUUGUCCGGAUUUAUUGGGCGUAAAGCGCACGCAGGCGGUCGCACAAGUUUGUGCUAACAUUUUCUGGCUCAACCAGGAAAGGUGCAUGAAAACUAUGCGACUUGAGAGCGAGAGAGGGACAUGGAACUCCGGGUGAAGCAGUGAAAUGCGUAGAUAUCCGGAAGAACACCAAAGGCGAAGGCAGUGUUCUGGCUCGUGUCUGACGCUCNNUGCGAAAGCCNNGGGAGCGAACGGGAUUAGAUACCCCGGUAGUCCUGGCCGUAAACGAUGACCACUAGAUGUGCGGGGUAUCGACCCCUUUCCGUGUCGGAGCAAACGCGAUAAGUGGUCCGCCUGGGGAGUACGGUCGCAAGAUUAAAACUCAAAGGAAUUGACGGGGACCCGCACAAGCAGCGGAGCGUGUGGUUUAAUUCGAUGCAACGCGAAGAACCUUACCAGGGUUUGACAUGGACAGGAAGGUUCGUGAAAACGAAGUCCCUUCGGGGUCUGUCCACAGGUGCUGCAUGGCUGUCGUCAGCUCGUGUCGUGAGAUGUCGGGUUAAGUCCCAUAACGAGCGCAACCCCUAUCGUCGGUUGGAGAUGUCCGACGAGACUGCCACCUAACGGUGGAGGAAGGUGGGGAUGACGUCAAGUCAGCACGGCCCUUACAUCCUGGGCGACACACACGCUACAAUGGCCGGUACAAUGAGUUGCCAACCCGCGAGGGGGAGCUAAUCUAGAAAAACCGGUCUCAGUUCGGAUUGGAGGCUGCAACCCGCCUCCAUGAAGUGGGAGUUGCUAGUAACCGUAGGUCAGCACACUACGGUGAAUACGUUCCCGGGUCUUGUACACACCGCCCGUCACACCACGAAAGUCGGCAACACCUGAAGCCGCUAGGCUAACCCCUCGCAAGAGGGGAGGCAGGCGUCGAGGGUGGGGUUGGUGAUUGGGGU
rnacentral:rRNA from 1 species